rnacentral:rRNA from 1 species
UACGUAGGGGGCGAGCGUUGUCCGGAUUUAUUGGGCGUAAAGAGCGUGUAGGCGGCCAGGUAGGUCUGCUGUGAAAACUGGAGGCUCAACUUCCAGACGUCGACGGAAACCGUGUGGCUAGAGUCCGGAAGAGGAGAGUGGAAUUCCCGGUGUAGCGGUGAAAUGCGCAGAUAUCGGGAAGAACACCUAUGGCGAAGGCAGCUCUCUGGGGCGGUACUGACGCUGAGACGCGAAAGCGUGGGGAGCAAACAGG